CGGCAAGAGGCGACCC
rnacentral:misc_RNA from 1 species